GAUAAACAGAUUGAUGCUCAAGCUUAAAGGUAUUAGUUCUUUAUUUUCCAUCUUAAGCAGCUGCUCGUUCCAGUGUGUUAAAUUACUCAUUUUGACUUUUUUUUUGGGUGAUGGAGUGAAGUUGGCAUGAGAGCUCAUGAUGUAGCCCUGUAUGGUUAGAAGUAGUAGUUGAAAUUUUUGAUAUACUUGAGCAUUUGAAAUAGUGUGGCAUGAUAUUUGAAAACAAAUGUGUGUUUCAUGGGCC
rnacentral:misc_RNA from 1 species